rnacentral:rRNA from 1 species
UAUAGGCAUCAUAAACGAUAUGGAGUAUACAAAUUAAGUAAUAAAAGGGAUUUGUAAGGAUACCUAGCAGAUAUAUUUUCAAAGGAUAUAAAUAUAAAAAGUUUAAGUUAAUAAUUUGUAAACUUGGACAAUCCUAAGGAAAACCAAUAAUAUUUUUUACGUUGGGAAUUAAAACAUUUUAGUACCAAUAGGAAAGGAAAUCAAAUGAGACUUCUGGAGUAAUGGUGAGUGAAACAGAAUUAGCUUUAUUAAUAAAAUUCUAGCUUUUAAAAGUUAUGAUAAUAUUGUGGAAUUCAAUAAAUACAAAGAAUAAUUAAUUAUUUUUAUGUUACCAAAGAUGGUGAAAGUCCAAAAUCAUUUAGAAUUUUUAUUCUAUUCGACUUUUAUGCAACAUAAGUUGCUAAUUAGAAUAUUUAUUAAUUUAUUAAGUAAUAUGGAGACGGCUGCUCUGUAUGAAUUAUAUAUAAUGGGAUACCAUUCUCAAAAGCUAAGUAUAAUAUAUCUAGCGAUAGUGAAGAGUAACGUGAGUGAAAGGUGAAAAGUAAGUGUAUGACUAGUGAAAGAGAUCUUGAAUUACAAAUCUUAAAAGCAAUUAGAGUCUAAUAGUUAUUAGAUGAUAAUGUACCUUUUGCAUAAUGGGUCAGCAAGUUAAUCUUUAAUGCAAGAUGAAUAUAAUCUUAGUGAAAACGUUUAUGAAAAAUAUAUAUUUUUUAUGAGUAAAGUAUUAAGGAUUAGAUCCGAAACCAGAUGAUCUUUUUAUGACCAGGUUUUAAAAGGACCGAACGUAUGAAUGUUGCAGUAUUCUGCGAUGAGUUGUGAAAAGUGGUGAAAUGCUAAUCUAAUCUGGUGAUAGCUGAUAUUCUGCGAAAUCUAUUUUAGUAGAAAGUAUUAAUAGAUUAGUUUCUGUAAGAAUAAGAUAGAAUAUAUUUUUAUCUUACUUUGUAUAGCACUGAUUUCCAUUCCUUUUUCUGAGGAACCUUAGGUACCUCGGAAUCAUAGGAUAAAUUAGGGGGUUAUUAACUCUACUAUUGGAAGUUAACCUCAGAAGAAGACAUAAUUGAUUUAAUACUGACAGUCUAUUUGUGAUAAGGUAAAUAGACAAGAGGGAAACAGCCCAAAUCAUAUAUUAAAGUACCCUAAUAAAUAUUAAGUGAAAGUAAGAAAGUUUUUUAUCUAUGACAACUAUGAAGUAAGCUUGGAAGUAGCUAUCUUUUAAUGAAAGUGUAACAACUCAAUAGUCUAAUUUGUUAAAUUUAAUAGAUUUAACUUUGAUAAAAAGCAUCAAAAAUUUUCGGGUCUAAAUAUUUAACUUAAAUUAUGAUAUUAAUAAAUUCAUUUUUAUUUACAUAUUGUUAGAUUAAAUUGAAUUUUUAAUAAGGUAGCAGAACACUUAGUAGUUAGGUUGAAGAAUAUUCAGAAGAAUAUUUGGACUCUACUAAAGAGAUAAUGCUGGCAUGAGUAACGAUUAAGAAGUUAAAAUACUUCUCGCCGAAUACGAAAGGUUUUCAUGAAAAAGGUGAUCUGUCAUGAAUUAAACAGAUUCUAAGGAAUAAUGAUGAAUAAUUAUUAUCCGAUGAAAUAGAAAAAUAUAUAACUUGGUGCAACCUAAAGUUGCUUAAGUUCAAGAAAAGUAUUUUUUUAAGAUAAAUUAUAUCUGUACCUUAAACCGACUCAGGUUCGUUAGUAGAGUAUACUAAGGCGUAGAGAUAAAGCUAGUGAAGGAACUCGGCAAAAUGCUUCCGUAAGUUCGACGAUAAGGAAGGAUCUCUUAUUAUUAAUUGAAAUAAAAAUUUCAAUUUCUUUAAGAGAUUAACAUAAAAGUGGGGGCUUCGACUGUUUACUAAAAACACAGCAACUUGCUAAGACUAAAAGUACUUGUAUAAGUUGUGAACUCUGUCCAAUGCCAAUCCGUGUAAAGAAGGUAAUUUUCGAGAGAAAUGUUACUAACUGAUGCGGUGGUCAAUGACGGUCUUAACCAUAAGGAUCUGAAAGUAGAGCGAAAUUCCUUGGCCAUUAAAUGUGGUCCUGCAUGAAUGAGGUAACGCAGCCCUGCUGUCUCCACUAGUUUCUCAGUGAAAUUGAAUUAGCCGUGCAGAUGCGGUUUGCCUUCCGGAGGACGCGAAGACCCUAUGCAGCUUUACUGUAAUUUGAUAUUGUUCUUGAUUAAGUUUAGUGUAGAAUACAAGGGAGUGUAAAGUCGACUCAUCUCAUCCUCCAGGUGUAGUAGCUUGGAAGGGUUCAGCUGUUCGCUGAAUAAAGAGGUACGUGAGUUGG